CCAAGGCCCACAUUAGACGCAAUUCCUAAUCUGGUUUGAACAAUUAUGCGUGAAUCAUAAGAACCAAAUUGACCUGAUACAUCUUCUCCAUCCAUUGAAACCCUAGCACCACUAUAAUCAGCCACAUGCGCCGAAUAACCUCCUGAUUGACGUCGUUUUGCCAUCUAACACCGCCAUAACUUUGAUUGUUCCGACCACCAUAACCCUGAUUGUUGUGCCGACCACCUGAACAGCCACCAGAAUUGCGACCACCACGCCACCGACCACCGCCGGAGCGUCCACCAUUACCACAGGAGAAAUGAAAAUAGCAUAUUGAAGCUUUGUGCUCUGAUUUUUCACAAAUCUGACAAACUACAGAAGAUUUAUUUGAGGAAUCAUGUGGUGAAUUAUUGAUAUGCAUCGCAGCCAUGGCAGAAAUCGAUACAGAGGAUGUGAACUGAGAUGCAGACAGUUUCAACCGAGAUUCAUGAGGAAUGAAAUUGAGAUCGAUACAAGUUCUAAUUAGCAAAGACCUGCUGAUUGAACAAUUCUUCAAUUUUUCGCCAUAACUCAGAUGAUGAAACAGUACCUCUAGCCAGAUGUAUCAGAGAUGGUGAGAGAUUUGCAGUAAUGAAAGCUGAUACAUACGUAUCUGACCGUUCCCAAGCAGAUUUGGCUUCAACAUCUUCAGGCGGUGUAAUUUCACGAUUUAGAAAGUGAAGAAGCCCUAAUGUCUUCAAAAUUGUCAAUGUCUGAUGUUGCCAGUUUAAAAAAUUGGUGUUAUCAAGUUUAAUAGGCAUCAGAUGACGCCAUAGAAACACAGAUCUGAAGAUGAUAUCACCGAAAGAUGAUGAUAUCAAUGAAGAAAAGAAGAAGAGGAAGAAGAUAGAAUGAAGAGAAGAAAGAACUGUCUAUAUAGAAGUAGAAACAGAGUAGCCGGAAUCCGGCCAGAGUUGCCAGAAAGCACGUCGGAUUAGAUGAUCAAUCACAGGUUCAGAAGUAGCUCUGAUACCAUGUGUGAAAGUAGAGAAUGAAGAGAAUAGUUGUAUCAUUGAUCACAAAUGAAAGGUACACACCUAUUUAUAUACACAAACUCAACCACCUCAACUAACUCUAACAACUUAACUAACUAUCCAGCCUGUCCAACUAUACACCACACAUAUCACACACUCAUAUACACUAAUAGGAACAAUCUAUGAAUGUGAUAUGAUUAACGGUGUGUUAUGUCCUUUAACGUUGUCUCGAGUGACGACGUUCCCAGGAAAAGAGUUUGGGUGCUUAACUGUUUCGUGGGCGUAUUUACUCGAGUGGGGGUAUGACAAUUUGCUAAUGGUUACUCGUGAACAUUAUUAUUUCAAGAAACAAGAUGUUGAGUACAGGCUUAUGGGGCGUAUAGGACUAGUAGGUUUCAAUGUUUUGUGUUCGAAUUAUACAAUGGAAAGUGGUCGAAAAUCACAAGUUUGGGGAAUAAAGCGAUCUUUAUAGGGUUCAAUUCGUCGUUUGCUAUCGAUGGUGGUGAAGGUGUGAAGCCGAAUUGUAUUUAUUUCACUGAUGAUCUUUAUGAACCGUACCAUCUUCUACCAAAUGGUGGUGGUGGAGACGUGGGGAUAUAUCAUAUGCUUAACGGUAGAACUGAAAACGUCUUUGAGUCACAAGAAUCAGUUUUCCGGUCUAGUCCUCCUUUAUGGCUUCAAACAAGCACUCCUUCGGUAAUUGAGAAAAUUGAGUAGUUGUUUAAGGCUAGAAAUUAGGCUACUUGUAUGGUACUAUGGGAUAAACCGUCAUGUCAACGAUUAAUUGAUGAAUCCGAACACUAUUCAUACUCAUUCAUGUGAAAUACAUCUACACCUCACAUCUAGCGAAUGUUCAUUAUUAACAACUCAUAAUGAUUU
rnacentral:lncRNA from 1 species